GUAGGUGGCAAGCGUUGUCCGGGAAUUAUUGGGGCGUAAAGCGCGCGCAGGCGGUUCUUUAAGUCUGAUGUGAAAGCCCACGGGCUCAACCGUGGAGGGUCAUUGGAAACUGGAGAACUUGAGUACAGAAGAGGAAAGCGGAAUUCCACGUGUAGCGGUGAAAUGCGUAGAGAUGUGGAGGAACACCAGUGGCGAAGGCGGCUUUCUGGUCUGUAACUGACGCUGAGGCGCGAAAGCGUGGGGAGCAAACAGGAUCAGAUACCCUGGUAGUCCACGCCGUAAACGAUGAGUGCUAAGUGUUAGGGGGUUUCCGCCCCUUAGUGCUGCAGCUAACGCAUUAAGCACUCCGCCUGGGGAGUACGGCCGCAAAGGCUG
rnacentral:rRNA from 1 species